rnacentral:rRNA from 1 species
GACGAACGCUGGCGGCGUGCCUAAUACAUGCAAGUGGAACGCUGAAGGAGGAGCUUGCUUCUCCGGAUGAGUUGCGAACGGGUGAGUAACGCGUAGGUAACCUGCCUGGUAGCGGGGGAUAACUAUUGGAAACGAUAGCUAAUACCGCAUAAGAGUAGAUGUUGCAUGACAUUUGCUUAAAAGGUGCAAUUGCAUCACUACCAGAUGGACCUGCGUUGUAUUAGCUAGUUGGUGGGGUAACGGCUCACCAAGGCGACGAUACAUAGCCGACCUGAGAGGGUGAUCGGCCACACUGGGACUGAGACACGGCCCAGACUCCUACGGGAGGCAGCAGUAGGGAAUCUUCGGCAAUGGACGGAAGUCUGACCGAGCAACGCCGCGUGAGUGAAGAAGGUUUUCGGAUCGUAAAGCUCUGUUGUAAGAGAAGAACGGGUGUGAGAGUGGAAAGUUCACACUGUGACGGUAUC